CGCACAUUGCGCCCGCCAGUAUUCUGGCGGGCAUGCCUGUUCGAGCGUCAUUACAACCCUCAGGCCCCCGGGCCUGGCGUUGGGGAUCGGCGGAGCCCUCUGUGGCACACGCCGUCCCCCAAAUACAGUGGCGGUCCCGCCGCAGCUUCCAAUGCGUAGUACCUAACGACGCAACUGGAGAGCGGCGCGGCCACGCCGUAAAACACCCAACUUUUAAACGUUGACCUCGAAUCAGGUAGGAAUACCCGCUGAACUUAA
rnacentral:misc_RNA from 1 species